rnacentral:rRNA from 1 species
CUGGCUCAGGAUGAACGCUGGCGGCGUGCUUAAUACAUGCAAGCCGAACGAAGACAUCUCGCCGAAGCUUGCUCAUGAGAUAUCUUAGUGGCGGACGGGUGGAGUAACGCGUGGGUAACCUGCCUUACACAGGGGGAUAACAGUUAGAAAUGACUGCUAAUACCGCAUAAGCGCACAUUAUCGCAUGAUAGAGUGUGAAAAGAUUUAUCGGUGUAAAGAUGGACCCGCGUCUGAUUAGCUAGUUGGUGAGGUAACGGCCACCAAGGCGACGAUCAGUAGCCGGCCUGAGAGGGUGAACGGCCACAUUGGGACUGAGACACGGCCCAAACUCCUACGGGAGGCAGCAGUAGGGAAUAUUGGACAAUGGGGGAAACCCUGAUCCAGCGACGCCGCGUGAGUGAAGAAGUAUUUCGGUACGUAAAGCUCUAUCAGCAGGGAAGAAAAUGACGGUACCGGACUAAGAAGCACCGGCUAGAUACGUGCCAGCAGCAGC